GCUGACAGGAGGUGGCUGACGGCUGAGGUGUGAACAGCACUGGAAGGUGGUGAGGGCAACACCAGAGUCUGGGGCAAGCCUGAGAGGGGCACAGUGCUCCGUGGGCCAGUGAGAACCCCAAGGAAGGAAGAGGCCCUCACACCCCCUGCCCUGACUGAAGCCACUGGGGCAGCCCUGCCCCCACCCCGGUUGCCUCUGUCCCUCCAACCCGGUGACUCACUCACUGGGGCACCCAAGACGCGGCCAGGGCACGGGACACCCGCCUCUCACUUCCUGUGCUCCUAAGAAUUCCCUCCCUGGCCUUGAGCUUCCCAAACGCUGCUCUCCCUCAAUUGCUUGAGUUUACAACCAAGAAACACGAAGUCUUUAAAAUAAAGAAAGACGUGCUCUUUAAGCAGCCAGCAGCUCAUGGGUGACCAAGGGCCGACUCUGGUUUUGUAAGGGCCGUCUGGGUGCCCGUGUUGUGCCCGAUGCCACCCAAGAGGGUCCCCAGCCCUCCCCAGGAGCCCGGGAGUGCCCAAGCGGCCCUCUCAUCAUCACUACGGUCCUACAAUGCCCAAAACAACUCCAGACCCAAACACGCAGCAAGACCACAGGCCCCGGCACCUCCCGUGGGAUUAAGAGCCAGGAAAGCGCUUUGCUGGGUGGCUCUGGUUGGGUUCUCUUGGGGGAAAUCAGAAGCAGCUCAGGGCAUCUGGGUUUUUUCCUGCUUCUGCCCCAGGGACCCCAGGAACCCUCCGAGCUCCUGACCGUCCAUAAUUAACCCCAGGCUGCUCUGCAAAGCUGCACGACAGCCUCACUGAGGCAUGUGCUGAGCCCAUGAGCCACGCAGGAAGCAGGGGUGGGCACGUCGCAAACACGCUCCGGGGCUUAACAGGAUUGGAAAAUUCUAGCUCUGCCUCUCAAGACGUUAAGCGUUCCUCUCUUCUGGAGGCAACCAGAACCCAAUCGCUCUGGCACGUCUUCGGGUACAAAGAGCGUGGGAAUGUUUCGCGCGAGGAAAGAGGUCACAGGGUGAUUUUUCAUAAAAGCGGGGAUUCUGGGAACGAGAGCCACGAGUUUCCACAGAUCGCCAUCGGCCUGGCCUCAGAUCUCAGGCUUCCUACCUGUGUUGAGUUCAGACCACCCUCCUCCAGCUCCCCCCCCCCCGCCCCCGACCACCCCACAAAAGCAAGCUCUUUGCACAACUCAUUUCCUGUGCCUUUGUGGAGGCCAGGGCCCUGGACGUUCUGGGCUCAUUUAUGAAAAUGGGGGAGCUAAUUAGGACAUCUUUGGAAAUCACGCUCCCCCCCGCCUCGCCGGCCCCCACCGGCCCUCUCAUUUCAGGGGGCUGGGCUGUGGCGGCUGCUUACAUAUAUGCCUCUUCCUGGAAUUUCACUCUUUGCUUCAGGAGUGGGCAAUUAGAGAGAAUUAAGGCCUAUUUGGCGUAUGCGUACCAUUAAUGGACAGAGCCACGGAGGCAGCCUUGGGAAAGGCAGUCGGCGGGUCUAAGAGAAGCUGGCAAUUUUUCGAUUCCUCCUUUCAGCUCACAGGUAUUGUAGCAACCAAGGUCACCAAACAAAGGCCGCAGCCCAGCACGGCGAUCGCCAGGCGCAGGCCCACUUCUGGGCGCUGUUUAUCACCACACACUGAAGCACAAAGACAGGCCGAGGGCUGCUUGCAAAUCGGAGCCCGAGAUGGGCAGCCAGGGGAGGCCCAGCCACUGAUGGCUUUUUCAGAAAGUUCUCAGCUGAGCGAGCCGGGGCGCCAACAGAGGUGUUGCCGAGGGUCUCGUGACGAAAAGGCCGUGCAGCCGGCCACAACCUCCCGGGGCUGUGGCCACAGGGCCAGGCCCACAACGAGGCCCAGCAAGGUGCUCCAGGCCUGGCCGGCGGCCCACCUGUUUGGAAGACGGUUCCGCAAAGUGCAAUCCCUGUCCCACAGCACGUGGGCAGCCCCUGGCAGCUGAUUCUGUGCCUGAGUCCUGCGUGUUCACAAAAUGCUGACCGUGAGGACUGGCCAGGGACGGUCACCCAGUUGCUCAGCCAUGGGCCGUGGGCUUCACGUCCAGAGCCAGCCAACCCUGGCCCCUCCUGUGUCUGGUUUCCUCAUCUCCGAAGCAGAAAGGCUUGGAAGGCAGAGGCCCAGUGACAUCCAGCCCUUGGGCUCUAAACACACGGCACCCACUGAGGCAGCGAGACGCUACCCAGAGUCCCAGGGGCCCUCAGGCGACUGAACGCCUACACUGCCCCAUUUCAUAGAUGGGAAGACUGAGGCCCGGGUGGCUGGAGACACGGGCCAAGGUCAUCCCCAUGGUGGGAGCUGAGUAGAGGCUGGGGCCAGGUCUCUAGAGCUGCCACCUGAACACCCGAUUUGAACUCUUUCCCCUAGAGUUCCCUGGUGGCCUAGUGGGUUAAGGAUCCAGCACUGUCCCCUCUGUGGCUCGUGUCACUGCUCUGGCACUGGUUUGGUCCCUGGUCCUGGAACUUCCAAAUGCCGUGGGCAUAGCCAAAAAAAAAAAAAAAAAUCUUUUGAACUCUCUUCCCUGACUGGCAAGGCCUGAGCAGCAGGGUUGUGCCCUGUUCCCAGCCGGAAGGCCGGUGGAGGCCCAGUCUGGAUGCCAGGGAACCUCAGACCCCUCCUAUGUCAAAAGGGCACUCGCUUUCCAGCUCUGACCUCCCCUGCUGCUUCUGCACCUGACAGGCUACUGUCUCAUUUUACAGGAGGGGAAACCGAGGCCCAGACACCACAGUGACAAUGACAGUGGCCAAGACCUGGUCCCUCGACUCGUCCCCCCAACUCAUGGCAGGGCCUUUGCCCCUGACUCCCCCAGAGGGGCGUGAGCCCUCAGGACAGUUUGGGGCAGUGGUGGCACAAACAGUUUUCCCUCUAACUCUAAGGACCCCCCCUUGCUCAGGGCUGCCCCCACCCUGUGGGCCCUGCUGUCCCCCUGCUCCCUGGCCCUUUCGGACUCAGAUGCCAGCCCUCUGGACCGCCAGCUGCUCAGCCUGGUAGGAAUGGCUCUAUCCCCACCCACAGGACAGCCCGGAGAAGGGGCUGGAAAGGCGGAAGGCCCCGCGCAGCUGCGGCCUGGGGAGCCAGCACAGGCGUGCGGUCCGUCCUUGGCCCCUGAGGGUCCUCCCCCAACUUUCCAGCCCAGGGUUCUGGCCACCUCUGUCUCCGGCUGUCUCUCGGGCACCAGGCCCCGUUUGAUGCAACUCUUGUUUACAGGCACGCCGACUCUGAGAAACUUGCAGAAAGCAAGCCCUGGAGCGGGGAAGGCCGGGCAUGCCCAGGGUCACACUGACAGGGUGGCUGGUGAGACAUGCAUUGUGCCGCCUCUUGUCUGUGCCUUGGAGCUCACGACACACACACACAAGGGCGAGGGGCCGCGUCAGCCCCCGAAGGGAACACACACACACCCCCUCUGUUUCAGGGGAAGGUAAUUGAGGUUUCCUUCUUUUCAUGUGAAGAAAAGCCACCUUCUAUUGAGAGAAUGUAUUCAGAGAACCUGGGAAAACUCAUCUGCACUCAGCCUCCCAAUUAACCCCAGGUGGCUGGUCUCCACGGGGGCCCCACAUUCCUUUCUGCCUGGGCCUUUGUUCCCAUCUGAACGCCCUGGGAGAUCCCAGGCUAAGAGUCUCCUCCUUAAGCCCCUGCCAAAGACCCUAUUCACCACGCAAAGGUGGUGGGCAGCCUUCCUCGCCCCUCCCCGACUCCCAGGAAGGAGGACUUAAGAAUUCUCCAUCUGGAUUUUUUUUAAGCCCAAAGAAAUUGGAGAGCAAUUAAGAGAGUCACGACUACACCCUCCACCACCCUCCUCUCCCUUAAUUAAUUCCUCUCUCACCCCCACCCCCAAAAUCGGGGCCUACACCGGCCUGAGCUCCCCCCACCCCCGGCACCUGCUCUGCCCACUGGUCCCUCACGAGGCCAAGGCCCUCGCGCUUGGCUCCCCAAAGCGUAGCUACGGCCCUGGGUUUUCCACAGUGAAGAAUGGGCUGGGGGCCAAAUGUCUAAAAUUUGGAAGCACCAGAAAUUCCCAGAUGUGUGGGCAUCGCCAAGAUGGGCCUCCCAGGCACCAGGCAGCUCUCCUGGGCACAGAUGAGGGGACCCGCCCCCACUGCUGGAUCCAAGUGAACGUCAGACCCCUCCCGCUGUUGUGUCCUCCGGCCACGAAGGUGUGCCUGGGGGGGGGGAGGACACUGCGGAGUGGGGGGCCUCCUCCCGGUGGAUUCCCAGUGGCUCCCCCUUUUCCUCCUCUCCUGGCUCCAAAACACUGCCCCCCUCCACACCGAGGAGGGGAGCCUACCUCUGCAGCACCCUGCUUCUCAAAGCCACACGGAAGCAGCCGGGACUUGGGGCUGCCCCCUGGCACCCGACCCCGGAACGCAAGCCGUCCCUCCUUCCCUAAGCAGAGCAAAACGGGCGCCCUGGGAACCCCUGGUGGUCAGGACUUGGCUCUCUCACCACUGCGGCCCAGGUUCAAUCCCUGGUCUGGGAACCGGCAUCCCACACGAAGCCGCUGCACGCCACGGCCAAAAACAAACCAGACAAAAAACAUGGGGACCCCAGGCUUGAGAUGGCCUCAUUUGGAAAGAUAGGACUCUUUUCCAGAAUUUUCCAUCUGCUCAAACCAGGAAUGGGAGGCCAGGCUAGACUCCCCCAGUCCUCCUUUCGGACAGAGGACGGGGCCCAGAGGCGCAAAGGGAAAGGGGGACCGGUGUGUGCGGCGUGCUCCCCUCUGGCUAAGUCCAGUCCUCCCCAAAGAAAACGCACCCAGCGCCCCAGGCCCUCCUGAUCCGGCUGACCAUGCAGGGUUCGAGCCCGCCCGCGGCCCUCUAACCCUCGGGACCGAGCUGUGUCUUCCUCCACGCACCCUCCUGCGUAAAGCGACCUUCCUCUUCUCAGGGAAAAACUCAUUAGCAAGCCCAUUAAAGACAAGGAACUGUUUCUUUUCUUUCUGGAAGUCAGAGUGGUCAUAAAAAAGAAAAAAACCCACACGUGUCAUUUACUUCAUGUAAAUGAAUGAAUAAGAAACACGUGCGUCCUGUUGCCCU
rnacentral:lncRNA from 1 species